UUACCUGGUCUUGACAUCCACAGAACUUGCCAGAGAUGGCUUGGUGCCUUCGGGAACUGUGAGACAGGUGCUGCAUGGCUGUCGUCAGCUCGUGUUGUGAAAUGUUGGGUUAAGUCCCGCAACGAGCGCAACCCUUAUCCUUUGUUGCCAGCGGUCCGGCCGGGAACUCAAAGGAGACUGCCAGUGAUAAACUGGAGGAAGGUGGGGAUGACGUCAAGUCAUCAUGGCCCUUACGACCAGGGCUACACACGUGCUACAAUGGCGCAUACAAAGAGAAGCGACCUCGCGAGAGCAAGCGGACCUCAUAAAGUGCGUCGUAGUCCGGAUUGGAGUCUGCAACUCGACUCCAUGAAGUCGGAAUCGCUAGUAAUCGGAAUCAGA
rnacentral:rRNA from 1 species